GGAUGGUGAAGGAGGCGGAUGCCGGACCAGGCCCAGCAUCCCGAAAAACUUUUCAGGAUGCCGGACCCGGGACCCGCUGCCUGGCAGGGCGAGGCCUUACCGCUGGCCCAUCCGGCCGCAAUUAAUAUUCCGGGUCAAAUCGGCUGGUGUCAAAAACACGACGAUAAAAGACCGGUUUUAUCGGUCGAUAGCACGAAUAGCCAUGGUGCUGGCCACGGCGCCAGCGCGGACUGUGGACUUUAUGGGUAGUAACUGUGCGGAAACUCUAACGGCGUUGUAUCCGUAACCGAAGGAAAAUGUGGCUGGGCCGACCACCGACAAAUUGGCUCUGUGUCUGAUAUAUAAAAAAAAAGCGUGGCGAUUUUUUAAAGGACGGAAAGUGUUUGGUGGCGAAGAGAAACUAACGGGCGCCAUUUUAAGGCCGGAUUUAUGGGGAGCCCGCCUCCGUUAAUCCCGAGGCCGGAAUAGGGGUCCAUUUCGGAAACAAACAAAUAGUGGAAAGAGGUAAUUAUUGAAUAAGGAAUUUAAAAGUGGAGAGGGUGGAAGGGAGUUUUGGAAUUGCUCUUCCGCCGCGAGGCGCGCGUUCUUCCGCCUUAACGGUAGAAGAAAACAUUUUCGGAAUAAAUAAUGGUCGGCCUUUAUUCGAUUUUUUUUCUAUAUACAGUCUUCGUAAUUGAAAGAUAGGAAACGUAACUUGCGGGUGGAGCGUUUCACUUAAACUAAUAAAAUAGGCGUCGAGUAGAUUUUUUUCCUCUUCCGACAGAGGCGGGCGUUAACUGCGUUUAGUAUAAAAACCGUUUUAAAAAACGACACUUAAAAAAAAGACCAGCGUAAAAAUUUGUUUCGGCAGUUAUAAAUCUAGAGAAUGUUUAGAACCAGUGACGCUUUUUCCCACCGCCACCCGGGGCAGAAUGGAGUAGAGACUUUACGGGGCACACCCGGUCGACCGUCCAGGCUGGAAUACCGGGCGUCAGAAAAUCUGGAAUUACGGUCGGGAAUAUUUUCCUCCAGCGGAAAGUCGGAAGAGAGAUUUUUAAAUAGUCGACUACCGUGGAUGAGUCGACUAAGGCCGUUAUAUUUUGGGAAAAGAUUUUAGACGGAAAACUGGCAUUUUGAUCACUGGCGGAGAUUAAAUAGGCCACCACUACCCCCGUUAUAAUUUGAUGGAAGGCGGACUAAAGAACCGGUACCUGGGCUGGCCGGAGGCCGAGGGUGAGAAUCGAAAGGUUAUUAAAUCCACCGGUGGCGUUUGCGAUAAAAGCGCGACCAUUCCCAGUCCCACCUAACUCCAUUAAAAAUGUAAAGUAGGCGCCGAAAUAUUCGAAUAGUUGGAUUGACGGUCGACAGAUGGCCGCCUAUCGGCUACCGUUCCGGCUCUUCGAGCUAUCUUCUAGAUGUAUCUGGCUACGUAGAUUAGUGGGGAUUUUUUACCUCCAUCUAAUAUCCCGCUAGUUGGGAAUUAAACGCCCUCCAUUUUCUCCUUUCUUAAUAGUGGGAUUUGGUGGAAGAACGUGGAUGGAAAAUCUUUAAAUCUAUCGGAGUGGGGCUUAGACCGAAAUUAAAAUUUUCAUUAAUGGCUUAUCCCGUAUGGCUAUUAAUAAUAGGAGGCGCGCCUAAUCUUUCUGCCCCGAAAAAUUAUAUAGACUAGAGAUUUCGGGUGGGAUAGAUGACUGGCGGUUUAUUCCGGCGCUACCCAUCCAUUCUUUCCACUGUUUUUGUAAAAUGAGGCCGUUUUUUGUCAACAGAUGACACCACUUUCCACUCAGUAAGGGUACUAAGUGCCGG
rnacentral:lncRNA from 1 species